UAUAUUUCUGUGGACGUUUUCUUGCAAUGAAAAUGCCUAAAGGAAACUUUUCCUGAACAACAGUACUAUAAAUAGACCAAAGAACGCAGUUGGCUUCAGACUUCAACUGAAGACAUUACCAGACGACUUCAUUUCUUAACAUAACGAAUACACACGAGGACUCCAGUCUAGUCUAGAAAGUACCCCCCACCCCCGUGCCGGAUGGUCCGUUCCGGUUGUUCGCGCGGGCGCCUGCCUGAUGCAGUUUGACAGAUUUUGAGCAUGGCUCCGAAAAGACAGCAGGAGUCGGGUGCUGAAAAACAAAAGAAGAAGAAACUGCGAGAUGAUGCCCGUGCAUCACUUUCAGAUCCUAACGGUGAGUUCUGAAACACAGAUACAGAUGCUCCAGAAAGAUCAUCUCCCAAACAACACCUAUUCUGGGGUGUGUGGAUAUGAAGCUGAUGGGUCUGCCCCAACCCAGGAGUGAUGGACUGAAGGAUUUUCAAUGCUCUUAUCCUGUUUUACUGUACCUUUAUUUUUCUUCUUACGAUCAAUAAAAUGGUGGUUUACAAAUUCUGAGUUGAAAGACAUUUUCUUCACAGUACAAAUAUUUUCUCAUGUAAUUUAGAUUAUAUUAGGUCAGGUACAAGUUUACUAAAACAUAACAUAGAGUUGGCAGGGUUUGAAAGUUUCUUUUGCAAAUGAGCACAUUAAAGCACAUUAAUUUCACCUACAGGAAUAUAAAAGAAAUAUAAAUGGGGCCCAGUUCUCACCCACUGUGGUCCCACAAAAACCCCAUAGAGGGGCCAUUUGUGGGUCCAGUGUUAUCACCCUUCUGGGCCCCGUAAGGGUUCUGUAUGUGGCCCACAUUGGCCCCAUUUAUUAGAACCCAUAUGUGACCCAUGUGGGCCCCUAUAAUGAACACACAAAUGAGCCCCACUUAGAGCCCACUAUGGA